rnacentral:tRNA from 1 species
AAAAAAAAAUUAGGGUAUAGACAAGGACAAGUGUUGAGGGGGGAAAACCCUCAGCAAGUUGACUCCCUUAUAUAUUUUUU